UGGGUAGCCCUAAGUGCUUGACCGUAACGCUGGCUCAAGCUCAUCUUGUCAACCUCUUCAGCAACCUCGGAGGUAACAUUUUCAGCAGAGUAGUAAAAGUGGCGAGCCAAGUGUGAAACCUCCUUGUUAGAAGCCGGGUCUAAGUCACCCUCACGUAACUCAUCGGGGAAAGUAGAAACCAGCCCGAAUUUUCUCUUCUUCGAGCGAGGGGUACCCUUCGACCCGCUGUGGGAGGUACCCUGAGAUUUUUCCUUUGGACCAGGAGCUCGAGGAGGUCGGGAGC
rnacentral:lncRNA from 1 species